AUUGAACGCUGGCGGCAUGCCUUACACAUGCAAGUCGAACGGUAACAGGUUAAGCUGACGAGUGGCGAACGGGUGAGUAAUGUAUCGGAACGUGCCCAGUCGUGGGGGAUAACUACUCGAAAGAGUGGCUAAUACCGCAUACGACCUGAGGGUGAAAGCGGGGGGGAUCGCAAGACCUCUCGCUAUUGGAGCGGCCGAUAUCAGAUUAGCUAGUUGGUGGGGUAAAGGCCUACCAAGGCAACGAUCUGUAGUUGGUCUGAGAGGACGACCAGCCUCACUGGGACUGAGACAAGGCGCAUCAUCCUACGGGAGGCAGGAGUGGGGAAUUUUGGACAAUGGGCGCAAGCCUCAUCCAGCAAUGCCGAGUGCAGGAAGAAGGCCUUCGGGUUGUAAACUGCUUUUGUCAGGGAAGAAAUCAUGUAGGUUAAUACCCUUGGGGGGAUGACGGUACCUGAAGAAUAAGCAUCGGCUAACUACGUGCAAGCCGCCGCCGUAACAC
rnacentral:rRNA from 1 species